rnacentral:rRNA from 1 species
CACGUAGGGUGCGAGCGUUGUCCGGAAUUAUUGGGCGUAAAGAGCUCGUAGGCGGUUUGUCGCGUCUGCUGUGAAAACCCGAGGCUCAACCUCGGGCCUGCAGUGGGUACGGGCAGACUAGAGUGCGGUAGGGGAGAUUGGAAUUCCUGGUGUAGCGGUGGAAUGCGCAGAUAUCAGGAGGAACACCGAUGGCGAAGGCAGAUCUCUGGGCCGUAACUGACGCUGAGGAGCGAAAGCAUGGGGAGCGAACAGG